AAUACUUUUAGUGAACCUUGGCAUCUUCCGCACACUCCUCCUGAGCAAAUAAAAGAGAUUGUAUAUGAAGGUGCUUACAAUACAUUUGUGGAUGAGAUCAAUUCUAUAACUGCUUAUCAAUGGUGGGAAGGUGCAUUGUAUAGCAUUCUUUCCGUUCUGUCAUAUCCCCUUGCAUGGUCAUGGCAACAAUGGCGCCGGAGAAUCAAAUUGCAAAGAUUGCGUGAGUUUGUUCGAUCAGAGUAUGAUCAUGCUUGCUUACGUUCUUGUCGUUC
rnacentral:misc_RNA from 1 species